GACGUAGGAUGCAAGCGUUAUCCGGAAUUAUUGGGCGUAAAGCGUCCGCAGGCGGUCUAUUAAGUCAGAUGUUAAAGAUCUGAGCUCAACUCAGAUACGGUAUCCGAUACUGGUAGACUAGAGUCAGAUAGAGGCGAGUGGAAUUCUGCAUGUAGGGGUAAUAUCCGUAGAUAUGCAGAGGAACACCAAAAGCGAAGGCAGCUCGCUGGAUCUGUACUGACGCUCAUGGACGAAAGCGUGGGGAGCGAACGGG
rnacentral:misc_RNA from 1 species